UUUAUAAAGCUGUGCACAGUGCCCAUUACUGUCUGCAUUGUAAGCCUUAAGAUCUGUUGGGUAUUAGGUGUGGGAAGAAACCAAGUUUUAGUCUGCUCCCACUGAGAUGACUAAUUGGCUGGCUAGUUGGUUGGCUGGCUGACCAGCAGGCCGAACAACUGACUGACAAUGGAGAGACACGCUGAGGAAAGACGGGAAAUACAUGGGAUUACGUGGCAGGCUCUCUGUUGCUAUGGCGACUGUUCCUGCCACCGCUGAGAAAGAAAGGAUACCUGAGGAGAGGAAGAGAGGACAGUAGAGGAGCGAAUAGAGAGAUGCAGAUGGAUAGAGAAGACAUAGAUAUGAGUACACUUUGGUCUAGAUUCUAGAUCAUGUGAAUAUGUGCACAAUAACCAAGCGGCAUCUUCUGGGUUUGAAAAGUGAAGCCAAUGUGGAAGUGCUUUAAACCUGAAUUCUUUCUAAUGGCCAGCAGGGGGUGACUCCUCUGGUUACAAGUGGUCAGACUGCAUUGUAAUCUAUGACAAAAUGACCCUACUUCUCACUUGAUUUACCUCAGUAAAUUACUUUCCUAAUGA